rnacentral:rRNA from 1 species
GAUCAUGGCUCAGAUUGAACGCUGGCGGCAUGCCUUACACAUGCAAGUCGAACGGCAGCGGGGACUUCGGUCCGCCGGCGAGUGGCGAACGGGUGAGUAAUGUAUCGGAACGUACCUUUCAGUGGGGGAUAACGUAGCGAAAGUUACGCUAAUACCGCAUAUUCUGUGCGCAGGAAAGCAGGGGAUCGCAAGACCUUGCGCUGAUUGAGCGGCCGAUAUCAGAUUAGCUAGUUGGUGGGGUAAAGGCCUACCAAGGCGACGAUCUGUAGCGGGUCUGAGAGGAUGAUCCGCCACACUGGAACUGAGACACGGUCCAGACUCCUACGGGAGGCAGCAGUGGGGAAUUUUGGACAAUGGGCGCAAGCCUGAUCCAGCCAUGCCGCGUGAGUGAAGAAGGCCUUCGGGUUGUAAAGCUCUUUCGGUGGGGAAGAAAUUGCUUCGGUUAAUACCUGGAGUAGAUGACGGUACCCGCAUAAGAAGCACCGGCUAACUACGUG